UACGGGGGGAGCAAGCGUUUGUUCGGAUUUACUGGGCGUAAAGGGCGCGUAGGCGGCCACCGCAAGUCGGUUGUGAAAUCUCCGGGCUUAACCCGGAAAGGUCAAUCGAUACUGCGGGGCUAGAGUGCAGAAGGGGCAACUGGAAUUCUCGGUGUAGCGGUGAAAUGCGUAGAUAUCGAGAGGAACACCUGCGGCGAAGGCGGGUUGCUGGGCUGACACUGACGCUGAAGCGCGAAAGCUAGGGGAGCAAACGGG
rnacentral:rRNA from 1 species